GGCAGCUAUUUGAGAAGGAUGGCUAGACAGCCCAUUUACCAGUUGGCAAUAUGGGAGGAGCAGCAUGAAGUGAUUCUGAUGUCCACAAGUGCUCCACAGCAGGAGGUCAGAGGUAACACAAAGAGUUCUCUGCUAAGCAAGGACAUCUGUAAGAAGGUUCAUAAGGAGGAGCUGAGGUACUACAAACCUGAAAGUUGUCCAAGAUGGAGGCUCUGGCAAGACUCUUGUGGUGUAAACUGACUUCCAGAUGACUUGGCCACACUCACUGAGCUGUCUUGAUGCUGUUUUCCAAUUCAGCCCACUGAAACAGGGAUCACUGACAUCUGCUUGAGGUAGUGCCAGACCCCUCAAGUCCUACAUGUGGACACAAGUCCCACUUCUGUACUCCUCUUCACACCCACGUGCCAGGGCCUCGUUGUGACUGUGGGGCUGAGGGCUGCACUGCAGCUGGAAAAAGGUACCACUCAAAGACGGAUGCUACAGCAACUGCCACUCCCACUGUACACAGUUUGCCUGUGCCAUCUUCAUCACGUUGCCUGGCAUUCUCAUCACCUACCUUCAGUGCUUGAUUAAAUGCCUGCCCCCAUCCCUAAGCCCAGUGCAUGUUUCCUGCACAUCAGGAUUUUGCUAACUCCAGGCGUCUGUUGCGCUGUACUGCCAGAUCUGCAUCUUCUUUUAGAUUAUGUGGGUUUGGACUGUCAAUCACUUGCUGACAAAUAAAUCAGUUUGUGGAGCCAAGUGGUUUUGUAAAAUGCUUUCUGAAUCAUAUCAACCAGAUGUCUUUACAACGCCGCAUUUGUGACCAAGACGACAAAAGUAAGGGAUUUUCAAACUAAAGAGUAUCUUUCUUUCUUAAAGAGUAUCUUUCUUUUUAAAGAGUAAAAAACUUUUUGAAAAGUUGGCUAGUUGUAUGAAGCAGUGGCAGGCAGCUGGGGUGGUGUUUGUGCAUCUGUAUGUACAUAAAUAUUCACUGCAGUGGAGAAACUCAAGCAUUGGUAUUUUCA